rnacentral:rRNA from 1 species
UAACAGUUUGAUUCUAGCUGAAAACUUAGCUACUAUGAACCAAUAUACAUGUAAGUUCUAGCCGCCCCGCAAUCCCUCUAAAUCUAAAAGAAUCGACAAUUACAUCAAGAUUUCUAUACGUAAUAGGGCGCCACAGUAAGUAACUCUACUAACUCUGCAAAAGCAAGAAUUGGGUAUCAAGUUAAGAGUUGGCAAAAUUCGUGCCAGCUGCCGCGGUUAGACGACAAACUCAAGCUAAUUAAACAAUGACUAAGUGCAAGAUGAUUUAAACAGCUAUUAAGGUCUAAUUUAAACAGCCCUAGAGCCACACUCAUCUAAAUGGCCAUAAAACCAUAAUCUAAAACACGGAUUAGAUACCCGUCUAUUCAUGAAAUAAAUAAAGUCGAAAAAUACGAACCACAGUUUAAAACUUAAAGAUUUUGGCGGUGUCUCAUCGAACCAGGGGAACCUGUCUCAUAACUCGAUAAUCCACGAACUCUUCACCCUCCCUAGAUCAAACAGCUUGUGUACUGCCGUCGUAAGCACACCUCUAAAAGUACGAGUAUGCAACUAUGAUUAAACUCAUGUACGUCAGGUCAAAGUGCAGCCAAUGAGAGGGCGAUGAUGGGUUACACCCUAAAUAAAGAUACGGAGCACAACACUAAAAGUUGUGCAAAGGUGGACUUGGAUGUAAUAAAGAUACAAAGUCAAAAUGAAGACGAAUCUGAGACAUGCACACAUCGCCCGUCACUCUCGCCCAAAGGCGAGAUAAGUCGUAACAAAGUAGGUGUAACGGAAGUUGCACCUGU